UCCGACUCCGUUAGGGUUUUGGCUGCCGAGCGCCGACGCCGCCUCCGACCUGCCCUCCCCCUCCGACCCGGUGGUUUUGGCCGCCCACGCUGCGCGCCGACCUGCUCUCCACCUCCGACAGCGUCUCGGCCGGUCUUACCCCUCCACCCCCUCCGUCUUGGUGGACGACGGCGCCGCCGCUGCCGCCGCUGAAGCUGCGCUACGGACCUCCCCCCUCUGCCGCUCACGUCCCCGCGCCCUGCGCCCCGACGGUGGCGUGAUCUGGAGGCGCCGCUCAUCGGCGACGGCAAGGGUAAGCCCGCCCCUUCAUCCAAAGUGGUUGAGAAAUCCUCCGAGAAGUCCACCGCUCUCCAGCAGAUUAGAUCCACUCCCGUCCCAGUUUAUAACCUCCUCGUAGGCCUCCAGGAGGAAGGAGCGGCUCCAGUGACAGCAGGUGCAGCCGCAGGAAGGAAGAAACUGGUUCCGUGUGUUUUUCCUGGAAGGGGCUGCAGACCACCAUUUCGGCGAGGAAGGUUGGAUUCAUCCUGUUCUUUAUUACCCAGUCCUCCAGGAAAGGCACUACUACGCAUUACCCAGUCCUCCCAAGAAAAAUGGCACCAGCCCUUGUGCGUGAAGAACUUAUUCCUUGGGAGUUAAACAAAUUUAAGUUAGCUUCAUUACGUAAUGGCGAUGUAGUUGCUCGUUAUCAAAUCAAUAGGCCUUCAGAUCUCGUUGCAAUUGCUCAGUUAUCACGAGAGCAUAGGCCUCUAGUCUGUUUGGAUCUAAAAGAAUCAGAAAAUGUGCUUAAGACAAAUAUUAUGAAUCUGAGGCAUCGGAAUAUCUUAAGAGUUGAAGUUAUACAAGAAUUGCAGCUACCUGUCUUGAACCCGAAGAAUAUUGCUGUUGUUGUGGAGCCUCAUGAGGGACCUCUUACUUUGUUUUUGUCCAAAUUGCCUCUGACCGAGAAAGGCAGUAAUGCUGUCCCAUCACAGUCUCUUAGAGAUGUUAUAAGACAAAUUGUGGAGGCUCUUGAAGAGCUCAGGGUUAAUGGAGUCUAUCAUGGAGAUCUUACAAUACAUAAUAUGUACCAUUCAAAAGUUGGGGGUGCUGUUGUAGUGAAAUUAGUCAAUUUUCAAAACAGAGCUAUUGAUUUGGAGACUGCACAGUUAAUGGACUGGGUUGAGCUUGGUCAUAUUCUUCUUCUUAUUUCAGAGUCAGCAAAGUUGAACGAUAAUACUGCCUCAUGUUCCAUAAUUGACCGCCUGGCAUCGAAAUUGAUAGCAUUAGUAAACACUGACUGUCUUUCAAGAAUAAAAGAGGCUACUCUUGAUGAUAUGUUUUUCUGGGACACACGAAGGCGGACAAUGUUCUAUAUUCAUGAGAUCCCUAAAGCGCUGAACGACGAUGAUUUUGUUACAAGGGUGAGGCAGCAUGCGUGGCCACUACCAUGGGACACUGAGCACGGGGGACUCGUAAAAGCCAUGAACGACUAUCGGGAAGAAGUUGCGGUGCAGGUGCAGGAGUUCUGAAACAAUAUCAUUACAAUGGACAAGAUGCAGUUCACAAUGUACAGUGUAUGAGCGGCGCUUACACUCACAAAGACAAAAUAAAGGAUAAAAUUAAAGAUGAUCAAGGCAAGCCAAUGUCGGUGGAUGUGACUGUCCAGAAGGAGCAGCCAGAUUUGUGUCUUGUCCUACAUAGGUUGCUAGCAGGAGAAGCCUUCUAGAAGGCAAUGAAGAAUGUUUUUGCCCUCGUGACCUGAAAGCAAGGCGUUUUGCAAAGAGUAUAGACAGGUUGCUCCUCCUGUUCAGUCGAGGUGUCUUUUUGGAUCCAGAGAUGGCUGGCAAGUAGACAGACAAGGAGCGCGAAUGACCUUUUUAAAUUUUGUCGUCGUUACUUGUAUCAGUUCGUUUUUUUUUUUUGCAUGGACUGCUGUAAUGUUUUUCAGAAAUUUCUGGACCUAAUUGUCUGAUGCAAUGUUCCAUCAAAUUGAAAUCACGUUGAAGCUAUGCUGAGUUUGUUGACCUUAUAAACAUUUGGAGUACAGUCUCACACUGGCUGGAACGCUGAUUCAUUUUUUCUCUUCUUUUUUUCCUUUUGAGACUGAUGAAACCGAGUUGAGGCUGCAGGUGUCGACUGAAAAACCCACUUAAAUGGAAUACUUUCGUACUAGCAGGGGAUGGCGCGGCGUAGUUAAUUUGUUUCACGGGUGUGGUUGGCUUCUCGUGUGUUUUGGUUGUGUGUAAUAGUAUAGAUUGUUGUAGGUGUUGUUUGGCUGGGUGAGUUGUUUGUGUGAUGUGUACAUAGAAUUAGGGGGCUGCUAC